rnacentral:rRNA from 1 species
UAGUCCUACGGGGCGCAGCAGUGGGGGAUAUUGCACAAUGGGGGAAACCCUGAUGCAGCGACGCCGCGUGAGUGAAGAAGUAUUUCGGUACGUAAAGCUCUAUCAGCAGGGAAGAUAAAAGACUGUACCUAUAGAAUAAGCUCCGGCUAACUACGUGCCAGCAGCCGCGGUAAUACGUAGGGAGCAAGCGUUAUCCGGAUUUAUUGGGUGUAAAGGGUGCGUAGACGGGCUAACAAGUUAGUUGUGAAAUCCCUCGGCUCAACUGAGGAACUGCAACUAAAACUAUUAGUCUUGAGUGCGGGAGA